ensembl:lncRNA LINC02795 long intergenic non-protein coding RNA 2795
UUUUUACUUUGAGAUUUUUGUGAAUAACCAUAGAAAAAUCUAUUUCACCUGGCAAUAAAUAGGAAAAGGCACAGCAUAAUGUUUAAAUACAGAGAAUAUUGUUACAUGUAAGAUGUUGAUUGAAUGUUCUAAAUACAAUUUGAAAACUGCGUGAGAGGAGGAAAACGUAUAUUCAGAAGGACUUAGGUGAAUCCAGAUGAAUAUUUUCAUGACAGGAUGUUGGCUAUUGAUAUGAAGAAAGUAGAGGAAUAGACUUGCUAAAAGUUAGAGGAGUCUAGUUUAUCUUCCAAGAAGCUUUGCAACCCUGUAAUACUGUAGAAAUCACAAAUUUGGCAAUAAUUUUAAGAUAAUUUAUGUUCAUUUUUUAUGGAAUGCCAUGUUUAUCUUUUUAUAUAUGACAUUUUCUGGUCAGUAGUAAUAUAUAUAUCCUUUAUUAAAAUUGGAAAAUAAAUACAAACAUUUUAUUUAUUUAUUGGUUAAAAAAUUAUUAUGCUCAUUCUUUUUUUUUUUAACCAGUAAGGAUCUGGAUAAAGAAAAACAUUUUAGAAAACCACUUGUAGAGUACCAUGAACCAGUCUCUCUUCUCCAUUUUAAAAAAUUUAUUGACUCACUUUUUUUCCAUAACUUUUUGAGAUAUUAUUUCAACCACUUUGCAUUUAGAGAAAAAGAGUCAGAGAGUGAUUAAGAAAUCUGCCCAAUGCUAUACUGAUAGAAGCUGGGAGAACUGGGAUUUGAGCUUACAUAGGCUAGUUCUAGCAUUUGUGAAGUUCUCGCCUAAUAAAAAUUAUCUGUAAUCAUAACCAGAGCAAGUCAUUUCUAACCUCCUGUCUAUAGACACGCGGAUACAUUUGUAAUGUUUUUGUUUGUUUGUUUUUAGCACGACAGAUCAAUUCCUGCUGGCAUUAUAGUUCUUUAACUAUCAUAGCUUCUCUGAUUUUUCAACACAUCUGUCAUCCGUAUUCUGCAGGCAUAGCCAACUCUGUCAGUGUCUCCUCAGGCAAUCAGAAUCAACAGACAGAAUGUAGGACAGAAAACUGGCUGCAAACAUGUUGGAAGGGCUGGAGGAGCGAAAGAGGGAAGAUCUGUUACCUAGAGAUAGUAACUUCCAGAAGUUACCACUAUACUAGUGCAGGAGAAGCAGAAAGGAAGAUGCUGCUACCCAGAGCCCACAGUCAUUGUGCCCCUGAUGCCGCUGGAACCCCACUGCAGCUGCUUUACAGGAAGCAGGGAAUUAGCGCUCUUGCUGAUGCUACAGGUAUCCAGGAUCCAAAAGUCAUCAGCCGCUGUCCCUGUUGCAGCCUAGGGAAACUGUCCCACUGAGGUUGUUGGGGUACCUGCUACUGCAUCUACUGUCUGAACCAUGUUGCCUGAGCAGAUGUCCAGGGCUCAGGCUUGCCUGCUGCUGUUACUGCUGCCACCAUGUUUAUCAGAGCUACUUCAAGAAGAGAAGAAAUCCUCCUCAUUUCCAGUUUUUUCCAGUGCCUCCCAUUGCUUCCCAGAAUGCCAAAUUCUCUUUGAGAGACAGCUGAAAGGAAGGUUUGGAAAAGACUCUGGUGUAAGCAGAUUCUGCUUCCCUGCAAUAGGGGGAAAGCAUAGGGUGGAACUGGAGCUGAGAGCUAAUCACGAAUGAGCAAAUCAGUCUUCAAGACAUUUACCUUUCCUUGAAACGUUUCCCUUCUUUUACCGUGUUUUCCAUGUCAUUAUUUUUCCACAAUUCUGCAUCAUAUUCUGUUAACUAUUAAUGCCCUGGAUAAGUUUAUUUGCUCUUUCUUAGGGUUAAUUUUUCUCCUUUUCUUCGAAGCUUUAGUUUGCAGGUUCAGCUUGUGUGGGAAUUUUCAUCUCCCUCCUCUUCAAGACUCCUUGGAUAUCAGUUUUUUGGUUGCCUUCACCAACUCUCCCCCCACCAUCUCUAGACCAGGGCAUGGUCUUAGUUGGUGGCUUGGACUCCUGUGGCUUGGAGUCUUUGGGGAUAUUAGAGAUCCAGUCACUGAGCUGGCAAAGGGAACACUGUCCUUGCUUCCAGCUUUAUGAAGAACGCUUUGCUCUGUCACCCCACGUAAAUAAUCAUGUUAUUCAAGGAUAAUGAAUGCAGCCACCAUGUAAUCAUCACUGACUCCAUGAGACAGCGUCUCUCACUGUCACCUAGGCUGGAGUGCAGUAGCAUGAUCAUAGCUCACUGCAGCCUUGGACUUCUGGGCUCAAGCUGUUCUCCCCUCUCAGCCUCUCAAGUAGCUAGGUCUGUGAGCAAAUGCUACCACGCCCAGGCCAUGAGAAAAGAGACCUAAGAAAUGAUGCCCAUCCAGAAGAGUGAAGACUUCCUGAAAAUGUUCUUUUAACCUAAGAUGUAGGUUAAGAGGAGUGAAAAAAUGUUCUGUUUCUGACUGAUGAUGGAGCAACAAAGGAACUCCUAAAGAAGAAAUCAUCCAUUCAGUGAGAGCAAAUGAACACUCCAACAGACUGAAACAAAGCAUCUUUACAGGAGAUGUGAAUGCGAGAAAGCAAAGAGAACUACAGUCAGGGUCUCCGCUGGCAUGGCCCAAGCCCACCGUGGCAUGAUCCAGAGAGACGAGUCAGCAGAGCACUAUGGGCAGCUCCCAUACUCUUCGCAGAUCAACAAGCCAGCAUAUAACCCAGGGAGAUAGAUAAUAGUGAUGCUGUGCUCUGUAGAGGGUAGUGGCAACAGUGGGAUUUCUUCUGGAAUAAAUCUGUAGUGAGCCAGAUGUUUCUGCUGACUAUAUUACUUCUGACAGUGUAUAAUCCAAAAUUGUUUCCUUGGCCUUCCAAAAAGUUUUAUAAGCUCCCUAACGGCUGCAAUAAAUCCCUUUCUUCUUAAACUA